UCACAGACCUUACCGAGCGAGCUCGCUCAUGAAUGGGCUUUGCUCAGGAGAUGAGCCUGCAUUGCACACCGUGGUGCUCGAAACCUGUUGCCGUCCCUUCGGGGGCGGCAUCGGUGUAAUUUUUGCUGGCAC
rnacentral:snRNA from 22 species